rnacentral:rRNA from 1 species
AGUGGCGGACGGGUGAGUAACGCGUGAGAAUCUGCCUUCAGGUCGGGGACAACAGAGGGAAACUUCUGCUAAUCCCGGAUGAGCCUUAGGGUAAAAAAUUUAUUGCCUGGAGAUGAGCUCGCGUCUGAUUAGCUAGUUGGUAAGGUAAAAGCUUACCAAGGCAACGAUCAGUAGCUGGUCUGAGAGGAUGAGCAGCCACACUGGGACUGAGACACGGCCCAGACUCCUACGGGAGGCAGCAGUGGGGAAUUUUCCGCAAUGGGCGAAAGCUUGACGGAGCAAGACCGCGUGGGGGAGGAAGGCUCUAGGGUUGUAAACCCCUUUUCUUUGGGAAGAAUAAAAUGACGGUACCAAAGGAAUCAGCCUCGGCUAACUCCGUGCCAGCAGCCGCGGUAAUACGGAGGAGGCAAGCGUUAUCCGGAAUGAUUGGGCGUAAAGCGUCCGCAGGUGGCAAUGUAAGUCUGCUGUCAAAACCCAGGGCUCAACUCUGGUCAGGCAGUGGAAACUACAUAGCUAGAGUUCGGUAGGGGCAAAGGGAAUUCCCGGUUUAGCGGUGAAAUGCGUAGAGAUCGGGAAGAACAUCGGUGGCGAAAGCGCUUUGCUAGACCGAAACUGACACUCAGGGACGAAAGCUAGGGGAGCGAAUGGGAUUAGAUACCCC